rnacentral:rRNA from 1 species
AGUCCUUCGGGUUGUAAAAGCACUUUCCAGCAGGGAGGAAGGCAAUGUAUUUUAAUAGAUACAUUUGUUUGACGUUAGCUGCAGAAGAAGCACCGGCUAAUUCCGUGCCAGCAGCCGCGGUUAUACGCUAGGGUGCGAGCGUUAAUCGGAAUUACUGGGCGUAAAGCGCAUGCAGGUGGUUUGUUAAGUCAGAUGUGAAAGCCCGGGGCUCAACCUCGGAAUAGCAUUUGAAACUGGCAGGCUAGAGUACUGUAGAGGGGGGUAGAAUUUCAGGUGUAGCGGUGAAAUGCGUAGAGAUCUGAAGGAAUACCGGUGGCGAAGGCGGCCCCCUGGACAGAUACUGACACUCAGAUGCGAAAGCGUGGGGAGCAAACAGGAUUAGAUACCCUGGUAGUCCACGCCGUAAACGAUGUCUACUUGGAGGUUGUUCCCUUGAGGAGUGGCUUUCGGAGCUAACGCGUUAAGUAGACCGCCUGGGGAGUACGGUCGCAAGAUUAAAACUCAAAUGAAUUGACGGGGGCCCGCACAAGCGGUGGAGCAUGUGGUUUAAUUCGAUGCAACGCGAAGAACCUUACCUACUCUUGACAUCCAGAGAACUUGGCAGAGAUGCCUUGGUGCCUUCGGGAGCUCUGAGACAGGUGCUGCAUGGCUGUCGUCAGCUCGUGUUGUGAAAUGUUGGGUUAAGUCCCGCAACGAGCGCAACCCUUAUCCUUGUUUGCCAGCGAGUAAAGUCGGGAACUCCAGGGAGACUUCCGGUGAUAAAUCGGAGGAAGGUGGGGACGACGUCAAGUCAUCAUGGCCCUUAUGAGUAGGGCUACACACGUGCUACAAUGGCGCAUACAGAGGGCAGCCAACUUGCGAGAGUGAGCGAAUCCCAAAAAGUGCGUCGUAGUCCGGAUUGGAGUCUGCAACUCGACUCCAUUAAGUCGGAAUCGCUAGUAAUCGUGGAUCAGAAUGCCACAUAGAAUGCGUUCCCGGGUAGAGACACGCCCGGCGCCCCUCCAUCGGACUGGGCUGCAAAAGAAGUAGGUAGCUAACUUCGGG